rnacentral:rRNA from 1 species
UACAGAGGGGGCAAGCGUUGUUCGGAAUUACUGGGCGUAAAGGGCGCGUAGGCGGCCUGUUAAGUCGAACGUGAAAUCCCCGGGCUCAACCCGGGAACUGCGUCCGAUACUGGCAGGCUUGAAUUCGGGAGAGGGAUGCGGAAUUCCAGGUGUAGCGGUGAAAUGCGUAGAGAUCCGGAGGAACACCAGUGGCGAAGGCGACACGCUGGGCCGUACCUGACACUGAUGCGCGACAGCAUGGGGAGCAAACAGG